rnacentral:rRNA from 1 species
UCGGGGUCCGACUUAGCCAUGCUAGUUGUACGAGUUCAGACUCGUAGCAAAUAGCUCCGUAACACGUGGCCAAACUACCCUACAGAGAACGACAACCUCGGGAAACUGAGGCUAAUCGUUCAUACCCGUCUCACGCUGGAAUGCCGAGACGACCAAAUGCUUACGCGCUGUAGGACGUGGCUGCGGCCGAUUAGGUAGACGGUGGGGUAACGGCCCACCGUGCCGAUAAUCGGUACGGGUUGUGAGAGCAAGAACCCGGAGACGGAAUCUGAGACAAGAUUCCGGGCCCUACGGGGCGCAGCAGGCGCGAAACCUUUACACUGCACGCAAGUGCGAUAAGGGGACCCCGAGUGCGAGGGCAUACAGUCCUCGCUUUUCUCCACCGUAAGGUGGUGGAGGAAUAAGAGCUGGGCAAGACCGGUGCCAGCCGCCGCGGUAAUACCGGCAGCUCGAGUGAUGGCCGAUUUUAUUGGGCCUAAAGCGUUCGUAGCCGGCCACACAAGUCCACCGGGAAAUCCGCCAGCCCAACUGGCAGGCGUCCGGUGGAAACUGUGUGGCUUGGGACCGGAAGACCCGAAGGGUACGUCUUGGGUAGGAGUGAAAUCCUGUAAUCCUGGACGGACCGCCGAUGGCGAAAGCACUUCGGGAAGACGGAUCCGACGGUGAGGGACGAAAGCCAGGGUCUCGAACCGGAUUAGAUACCCGGGUAGUCCUGGCCGUAAACGAUGUCUGCUAGGUGUGACUCCCACUACGAGUGGGUGUUGUGCCGUAGGGAAGCCGCUAAGCAGACCGCCUGGGAAGUACGUCCGCAAGGAUGAAACUUAAAGGAAUUGGCGGGGGAGCACUACAACCGGAGAGCUGCGGA